AAACCCUACGGGGCGCAGCAGUGGGGAAUAUUGGGCAAUGGGCGCAAGCCUGAACCAGCCAAGUCGCGUGAGGGAAGACGGUCUUAUGGAUUGUAAACCUCUUUAGGCGGGGAGCAAUGCCGGGCACGCGUGCCCGGAGGGAGAGUACCCGCAGAAUAAGCAUCGGCUAACUCCGUGCCAGCAGCCGCGGUAAUACGGAGGAUGCGAGCGUUAUCCGGAUUUAUUGGGUUUAAAGGGUGCGUAGGCGGAUUUUUAAGUCAGCGGUAAAAUGUCCGGGCUCAACCCGGGCCGGCCGUUGAAACUGG
rnacentral:rRNA from 1 species